UCCGGCUUGACGCCGGCAGUCCCCCGAGAGUCCUCAGCACGACCUGUUAGUAACACGGGGCAAGGGUUGCGCUCGUUGCGGGACUUAACCCAACAUCUCUGGAGCUGUCUACCGCAGUUCAAACCCAGGUAAGGUUCUUCGCGUUGCGUCGAAUUAAACCACAUGCUCCGCUGCUUGUGCGGGCCCCCGUCAAUUCCUUUGAGUUUUAGCCUUGCGGCCGUACUCCCCAGGCGGGGCGCUUAAUGCGUUAGCUUCGGCACGGACGGAGUCGACACCGCCCACACCUAGCGCCCAUCGUUUACGGCGUGGACUAC
rnacentral:misc_RNA from 1 species